UGAUUGUAGAUGUGAAGGGGCUCCUUCC
rnacentral:sRNA from 1 species